rnacentral:rRNA from 1 species
CCUACGGGUGGCAGCAGUGAGGAAUAUUUUUCAAUUUUCUUAAUCCUUAACCCGCCCCGUCGCGUGCCGGAUGACGGCCCUACGGGUUGUAAACUGCUUUUAUACGGGAAUAACGCGCCUUAUGUGUAGGGCUUUGCAUGUACCGUAUGAAUAAGGACCGGCUAAUUCCGUGCCAGCAGCCGCGGUAAUACGGAAGGUCCGGGCGUUAUCCGGAUUUAUUGGGUUUAAAGGUAGCGUAGGCCGCAUGUCAAGCGUGCUGUGAAAUGUCCGGGCUCAACCCGGGCCUUGCAGCGCGAACUGGCGUGCUUGAGUCCGCGGAAAGCAGGCGGAAUUCGUCGUGUAGCGGUGAAAUGCUUAGAUAUGACGAAGAACCCCGAUUGCGAAGGCAGCUUGCUGCAGCGGAACUGACGCUGAUGCUCGAAAGCGCGGGUAUCGAACAGGAUUAGAUACCCGGGUAGUC